GCCAAAUAGCUAUAACCAAGAACAACUUUAAAACAGAAAUUGACAAGGUUCAUCAUGAGCAUCAAAGGUAUUUAUGAAUGCUGGCAGUUGGUGGAUGUAAUGAGUGGCAAGCUACAGGGGAUCAAAGCUGGGACUUCAACUGUUCACAAUUUAUUUAAAUAACUGAAUGAAGAGAAGGAAAAUAUGUUGCCAAAACUGCUGAU